GUACACUCCUACGGGAGGCAGCAGUGGGGAAUAUUGCACAAUGGGCGCAAGCCUGAUGCAGCCAUGCCGCGUGUAUGAAGAAGGCCUUCGGGUUGUAAAGUACUUUCAGCGGGGAGGAAGGCGAUAAGGUUAAUAACCUUGUUGAUUGACGUUACCCGCAGAAGAAGCACCGGCUAACUCCGUGCCAGCAGCCGCGGUAAUACGGAGGGUGCAAGCGUUAAUCGGAAUUACUGGGCGUAAAGCGCACGCAGGCGGUCUGUCAAGUCGGAUGUGAAAUCCCCGGGCUCAACCUGGGAACUGCAUUCGAAACUGGCAGGCUAGAGUCUUGUAGAGGGGGGUAGAAUUCCAGGUGUAGCGGUGAAAUGCGUAGAGAUCUGGAGGAAUACCGGUGGCGAAGGCGGCCCCCUGGACAAAGACUGACGCUCAGGUGCGAAAGCGUGGGGAGCAAACAGGAUUAGAAACCCCGGUAGUCCCAUGAU
rnacentral:rRNA from 1 species